CCUACGGGAGGCAGCAGUGGGGAAUAUUGGACAAUGGGCGAAAGCCUGAUCCAGCCAUGCCGCGUGUGUGAAGAAGGCCUUUUGGUUGUAAAGCACUUUAAGCGGGGAGGAGGGCACCGUGGUUAAUACCCACGAAUGUCGGACGUUACCCGCAGAAUAAGCACCGGCUAACUCUGUGCCAGCAGCCGCGGUAAUACAGAGGGUGCGAGCGUUAAUCGGAAUUACUGGGCGUAAAGCGCGCGUAGGCGGCUUGUUAAGUCAGAUGUGAAAUCCCUGGGCUCAACCUAGGCAUUGCAUUCGAUACUGGCAAGCUAGAGUAUGGGAGAGGAAGGUAGAAUUCCAGGUGUAGCGGUGAAAUGCGUAGAGAUCUGGAGGAAUACCGAUGGCGAAGGCAGCCUUCUGGCCUAAUACUGACGCUGAGGUGCGAAAGCAUGGGGAGCAAACAGGAUUAGAUACCCUGGUAGUCCAUGCCGUAAACGAUGUCAACUAGCCGUUGGGCCCCUUGAGGGCUUAGUGGCGCNGCACGCGAUAGUUAGACCGCCGCGGGAGGUACGGUCGCGACGAACGUAAACGUACGAAGAAGUAGACGGACGNGAGACGNGCCGACGGACGACGACGAGGGAGGUAGGGAG
rnacentral:rRNA from 1 species